AUUGAACGCUGGCGGCAGGCCUAACACAUGCAAGUCGAGCGGAUGAAGGGAGCUUGCUCCUGGAUUCAGCGGCGGACGGGUGAGUAAUGCCUAGGAAUCUGCCUGGUAGUGGGGGAUAACGUCCGGAAACGGGCGCUAAUACCGCAUACGUCCUGAGGGAGAAAGUGGGGGAUCUUCGGACCUCACGCUAUCAGAUGAGCCUAGGUCGGAUUAGCUAGUUGGUGGGGUAAAGGCCUACCAAGGCGACGAUCCGUAACUGGUCUGAGAGGAUGAUCAGUCACACUGGAACUGAGACACGGUCCAGACUCCUACGGGAGGCAGCAGUGGGGAAUAUUGGACAAUGGGCGAAAGCCUGAUCCAGCCAUGCCGCGUGUGUGAAGAAGGUCUGCGGAUUGUAAAGCACUUUAAGUUGGGAGGAAGGGCAGUAAGUUAAUACCUGGCUGUUUGACGUUACCAACAGAAUAAGCACCGGCUAACUUCGUG
rnacentral:rRNA from 1 species